rnacentral:rRNA from 1 species
AACGAACGCUGGCGGCAUGCCUAACACAUGCAAGUCGAACGAGACCUUCGGGUCUAGUGGCGCACGGGUGCGUAACGCGUGGGAACCUGCCCUUAGGUUCGGUAUUACUCCCCGAAGGGGGUGCUAAUACCGGAUAAUGUCUUCGGACCAAAGAUCUUUCGCCUUUGGAUGGGCCCGCGUUGGAUUAGCUAGUUGGUAGGGUAAAAGCAUGCCAAGGCGACGAUCCAUAGCUGGUCUGAGAGGAUGAUAAGCCACACUGGGACUGAGACACGGCCCACACUCGGACGCGAGGCAGCAGUGGGGAAUAUUGGACGAGGGGCGAAGGCCUGAUCCAGCAAUGCCGCGGGAGUGAUGAAGGCCUUAGGGUUGUAAAGCUCUUUGACCCGGGAUGAUAAUGACAGUACCGGGAGAAUAAGCUCCGGCUAACUCCGUG